rnacentral:rRNA from 1 species
UACGUAGGGUGCAAGCGUUAAUCGGAAUUAUUGGGCGUAAAGCGUGCGCAGGCAGUCGUGCAGGACAGAUGUGAAAUCCCCGGGCUCAACCUGGGAACUGCAUUUGUGACUGCACGGCUGGAGUACGGCAGAGGGGGAUGGAAUUCCGCGUGUAGCAGUGAAAUGCGUAGAUAUGCGGAGGAACACCGAUGGCGAAGGCAAUCCCCUGGGCCUGUACUGGCGCUCAUGCACGAAAGCGUGGGGAGCAAUCAGG